rnacentral:rRNA from 1 species
AGCGAACGCUGGCGGCAGGCCUAAUACAUGCAAGUCGAACGGUCUCUUCGGAGGCAGUGGCGGACGGGUGAGUAACGCGUGGGAAUAUGCCCUUUGGUACGGAACAACUGAGGGAAACUUCAGCUAAUACCGUAUGUGCCCUUCGGGGGAAAGAUUUACCGCCAUUGGAGUAGCCCGCGUUGGAUUAGGUAGUUGGUGGGGUAAAGGCCUACCAAGCCUACGAUCCAUAGCUGGUCUGAGAGGAUGAUCAGCCACACUGGGACUGAGACACGGCCCAGACUCCUACGGGAGGCAGCAGUAGGGAAUCUUGCGCAAUGGGCGAAAGCCUGACGCAGCCAUGCCGCGUGAAUGAUGAAGGUCUUAGGAUUGUAAAAUUCUUUCACCGGGGAAGAUAAUGACGGUACCCGGAGAAGAAGCCCCGGCUAACUUCGUGCCAGCAGCCGCGGUAAU